GAUGAACGCUGGCGGCGUGCUUAACACAUGCAAGUCGAACGGACGGGCCAUGAUCUUGUGUGGUGCUCGUGUGGCGAACGGGUGAGUAAAACGCGAGUAUAAUCCACCUGACUUUCUGAUAACUUUUGGAGAAUGGGGAUAAUAUCCGGUAGAAGCUCCUGAUGCAUGGGGGGCGUUGGAAAGAUUCGGCCGUUGGGGCUGGACUCGCUGGUUAUCAGCUUGAUGGUGGGGUUGUGGCGUUCCAAGGCUUUGAAGGGUAGGCGGCCUGAGAGGGUGACCGGCCACAUUGGGACUGAGAGACGGCCCAGACGCCUACGGGAGGCAGCAGGGGGGAAGAUUGCACAAUGGGCGGAAGCCUGAUGCAGCAACGCCGCGUGCGGGAUGACGGCCUUCGGGUUGUGAACCGCUUUCGCCUGUGACGAGGCGUGAGUGACGGUAAUGGGUAAAGAAGCACCGGCUAACUACGUG
rnacentral:rRNA from 1 species